UACGUAGGGAGCGAGCGUUGUCCGGAUUUAUUGGGCGUAAAGAGCGCGUAGGCGGCUCAGUAAGCCGGGUGUGAAACCUCCAAGCUCAACUUGGAGCGGCCAUUCGGAACUGCUGUGGCUAGAGUCUGGUAGGGGAACACGGAAUACCUGGUGUAGCGGUGAAAUGCUUAGAUAUCAGGUGGAACACCAGUGGCGAAGGCGGUGUUCUGGGCCAGUACUGACGCUGAGGCGCGAAAGCGUGGGGAGCGAA
rnacentral:rRNA from 1 species